UACGGAGGGUGCGAGCGUUGUUCGGAUUUAUUGGGCGUAAAGCGCGUGUAGGCGGUUUUAUAAGUCUGAUGUGAAAGCCCCGGGCUCAACCUGGGAAGUGCAUCGGAUACUGUAAGACUUGAAUACGGGAGAGGGCAGUGGAAUUCCGAGCGUAGGAGUGAAAUCCGUAGAUAUUCGGAGGAACACCGGUGGCGAAGGCGGCUGCCUGGACCGAUAUUGACGCUGAGACGCGAAAGCGUGGGUAGCAAACAGG
rnacentral:rRNA from 1 species